UGUAGGCGGCGGUAUGUAGCUUUGCAUUAGGGAGACGAGGAAGAUUAUAGUAGGUACUCCCGAAUUUCAGGUCUUUGUGGAUUUAAAGAAUGGUUCAAGGCCCCACUGCUACAGUGUCCCAGACAAGCAGCUGGAGGAUGGAUGGAUGGAUGGACGGACGGACGGACGGAUGGAUGGACGGACGGAUAUCUACAAUAAGUGGAAGUUGGCUGAAGUGCUCUCAUGAUGAUAAUUAAGAUGAUCUAGGAAAUGCAUUAAUUGAGUUACAUGACAGUUUUCUAAGGGUUUCUAUGUGGGACCUUUAUUCUACCAAAGUACGAAGCAUGGACCCAACAGGAAGAGCUGAUUGCGCUAAAGGUCCCCGACUGAGGCACAAAAGGCCACUGUAUCUGUAGUGAUGGUCCCCUGAACACGUCACUCUGUACUGCUCCUCGUUACUCAGAGUGGUCGGGGCGAAAACCCCAGGAAGCAGAAAUACACAAACACAGGGACUGUGCAGAAUAACACUAGGCCUUUAAUCUGGAAGGGGCUGAUUCUGGAAGCGUUCCGUCAUCGUCUCUCUAUAAAACGGCAUUUGUAUGUACAUGUAUACUUCAGCAGCCACCUACUGCAGAGGCCAGCAGAGUGGGAGAUCUUUUCAUCUGAGAUGCAGCAUUGCCUCUCUUUCAGCCUUUGUGUUCCCACUGCUGUAGAAUUGGGACUUUUGCCCUUGAUCGCCCACAGCAUUGACCUCGUAUUGAGCAGUCAGCGACUGCAGUGAGUCACAGGUGUCGGCUGGCUUCUAGAUCACCGUGCCCCUGUCCCGGACCCCUUUGACAGGGCGGGGGGAGCAGCAGCAGCCGUAGAGCAGGGCGAAGAUCAGUAUGGCCAUAAACGCUGCUAGGAACGCCGCAAUAACCACAGCGCCACCUAGUGCCCAGGGCUCCACCUGCAGCCGCUGCCACGCCCAUUCCCCCCAGUCCUGUGCUGUUCCAGCAUAGUCCGGCAACUUAGGUGUACUAGAGUUUGACAGGGAAAAAGACAAAGGAAUAAUUGCCAAUGGAGCUGUUGAACAGAGUAAAAGUUUUAAUGUUUUUAGUCUUCAUGAAAAUUUUGGGCAAACCAUCCAUUAUAUGCUCAUGUCAGGCUAGACUUGCACAAUAAUAAUAAUUAAUCUCUGUGGAUAAAUUCUCUUUAUGCCUCCCCCAACUUGCUCUCUCUGAAGGGAGGAACAAGCUGACUGUGAAGGGCAGCUGCCCACAGCAACACCCAGGGAGCUGGGGGUUAAGGGCCUCGCUCAAGGACCCACAGAUGUGCUGAGACUGGGCUCAAACCAGUAACCUUCUAAUCACAGGCACAGGGGCUUAGCCCACUGCGCCACACACUGCCUCUUCAGCUGAAUUCCGUACAGUUUUCAGUGUUCUCAUGUGGUUUUCUCUUAUUCUGCUCCGAAUGCUGUCUUUCAGUAAGAAUGAGCACUUCUAUACCUCAUCUUCUUAUUCAGAGUUAUAGUUAUUUGGUCUUUGGUUUAUUUUCUCUUGCUGUCAGUGGACCAUCACUUCUGAAUGUCCAAGUCGCGUUAAAUGAGACCCAGGGCUCUGUUUUCUCUAGCAUGAAAAAGCAGAGCAAUGUUCGGUCAGCAGACGCUAAACAGGAAGUAGAUCCUUUUAAUUCUGCAUGCCCCCCUCUCUUUGAUCACGAUUCAUUGUCUAGAAUGUUUUCGUUAUAUCAGGCUCAUUUUUAUAGUGUGUUACAGAGCCUUCUACAGCCAGGCAAUGUUUGAACGGAUCUCUGGUGCAAGCUCACGCUUGGAAGCUCACCUCUCCACCACCACCAUGUCGGCCGUGCCGGACAGCUGCUGUGCGUGUAGCCAAAGAAGGUGGAAGUCCUCGCCUUUGUGCUGGAAUGAGCGAACCGGAGACUGUUACCUCCCUUCCUGAGUCUGUCAGACGGACUUUUUGCUUUACACGAAGAAUCUCCUGAAACGUCAGUGAUUCUGAAUUGUCCUAUAAGCUCCCGCUCUGCUUCAGCUCUGACGUUUGUUUGUGUUGCUCAGUAGGAGAGAGGUUCCUGGGUUAAUGUUUAACAGCAAUAUUAUCGCAGUCAACAGUGAGGCCUGUGUUGUGUGGUUCGGCCUCAUACUGCCAUGUGCCAUAGAAGGGAAUCAGCCUGUAGAUAUGCCUCUGUGAGCUCACAGCCAUCGCAGCUUGGUGUCCAGCGGCGCUGUCAUCUGUCUUAUAAAGAACUUGUGGUGCACCUGUGUCAGGCAGCCUCACUGAGGUACAGCCAGGACCGGAGGGCUGUAUAUAUGCAAGGUAUUUGUUUUGAUGUUUUUGGCACAGAGAUGCACAUCUUUACAGGUUAACAUUCCUAAUAUGUCACAAAGUGCAGACUGGUAUUUAAUAUGCUUGUUACACACAUUGUGCUGUUUGCUGAUAUUUUAUUCCCUGUGUCUUUGACCUUUUGAGCAACAAAAGCUCUUCCACUCCCUGGAUUUUCCUCGUGAUAAUCUGUGAUGUGCAUUUUAAUAAUAUGUACUGAAUUACUGUCCCGCAAUCCUGACCAGGAUAACAGGUUAGAAGAUGGAAAGGUUAUAUAGCAUAAAAUAUUUUUGAAAAACGUGCAAUAAAUGCAUAUCUAAAUGCUGUACAUAAUAA